GGGGGACCUUCGGGCCUCUUGCCAUCGGAUGUGCCCAGAUGGGAUUAGCUAGUAGGUGGGGUAACGGCUCACCUAGGCGACGAUCCCUAGCUGGUCUGAGAGGAUGACCAGCCACACUGGAACUGAGACACGGUCCAGACUCCUACGGGAGGCAGCAGUGGGGAAUAUUGCACAAUGGGCGCAAGCCUGAUGCAGCCAUGCCGCGUGUAUGAAGAAGGCCUUCGGGUUGUAAAGUACUUUCAGCGGGGAGGAAGGGAGUAAAGUUAAUACCUUUGCUCAUUGACGUUACCCGCAGAAGAAGCACCGGCUAACUCCGUGCCAGCAGCCGCGGUAAUCCGGAGGGAGCAAGCUCCAAUAGGAAGUACUGGGCGUAAAGCGCACGCAGCCGGUC
rnacentral:rRNA from 1 species